GGUUAAGUAAAGCUAGCCGUACCUAACAGCCGCACCUUAGCCGUACCUUAGCCGUACUUAAGAAAAUUCGUAAUUAGCAGCUCUGUGUGAAUAUCUAUGCCGAUAAAAAUGAUGCAAAAUGGAGCACUCCAUCGUCGAGCCCCAGUAACCCCCAGGGAAUC